rnacentral:rRNA from 1 species
CAGUCGCCGCGGGAAUACGGAGGGUGCAAGCGUUAAUCGGAAUUACUGGGCGUAAAGCGCACGCAGGCGGUCUGACAAGUCAGAUGUGAAAUCCCCGGGCUUAACCUGGGAACUGCAUUUGAAACUGUCAGGCUGGAGUCUUGUAGAGGGGGGUGGAAUUCCAGGUGUAGCGGUGAAAUGCGUAGAGAUCUGGAGGAAUACCGGUGGCGAAGGCGGCCCCCUGGACAAAGACUGACGCUCAGGUGCGAAAGCGUGGGGAGCAAACAGGAUUAGAUACCCGGGUAGUCCCUGUCUCUUAUAA